rnacentral:rRNA from 1 species
AAAUUGAAGAGUUUGAUCAUGGCUCAGAUUGAACGCUGGCGGCAGGCCUAACACAUGCAAGUCGAACGGUAGCACAGAGAGCUUGCUCUCGGGUGACGAGUGGCGGACGGGUGAGUAAUGUCUGGGAAACUGCCUGAUGGAGGGGGAUAACUACUGGAAACGGUGGCUAAUACCGCAUAACGUCGCAAGACCAAAGAGGGGGACCUUCGGGCCUCUUGCCAUCAGAUGUGCCCAGAUGGGAUUAGCUAGUUGGUGAGGUAACGGCUCACCAAGGCGACGAUCCCUAGCUGGUCUGAGAGGAUGACCAGCCACACUGGAACUGAGACACGGUCCAGACUCCUACGGGAGGCAGCAGUGGGGAAUAUUGCACAAUGGGCGCAAGCCUGAUGCAGCCAUGCCGCGUGUAUGAAGAAGGCCUUCGGGUUGUAAAGUACUUUCAGCGGGGAGGAAGGUGUUGUGGUUAAUAACCGCAGCAAUUGACGUUACCCGCAGAAGAAGCACCGGCUAACUCCGUGCCAGCAGCCGCGGUAAUACGGAGGGUGCAAGCGUUAAUCGGAAUUACUGGGCGUAAAGCGCACGCAGGCGGUCUGUCAAGUCGGAUGUGAAAUCCCCGGGCUCAACCUGGG